rnacentral:rRNA from 2 species
CCAGCAGCCGCCGGUAAUACGUAGGUGGCAAGCGUUGUCCGGAAUUAUUGGGCGUAAAGGGCUCGCAGGCGGUUUCUUAAGUCUGAUGUGAAAGCCCCCGGCUCAACCGGGGAGGGUCAUUGGAAACUGGGGAACUUGAGUGCAGAAGAGGAGAGUGGAAUUCCACGUGUAGCGGUGAAAUGCGUAGAGAUGUGGAGGAACACCAGUGGCGAAGGCGACUCUCUGGUCUGUAACUGACGCUGAGGAGCGAAAGCGUGGGGAGCGAACAGGAUUAGAUACCCUGGUAGUCCACGCCGUAAACGAUGAGUGCUAAGUGUUAGGGGGUUUCCGCCCCUUAGUGCUGCAGCUAACGCAUUAAGCACUCCGCCUGGGGAGUACGGUCGCAAGACUGAAACUCAAAUGAAUUGACGG